CGCGUGGAAACGUGCCUUUCACUACGGAAUAGCUUUUGGAAACGAAAGGUAAUACCGUAUACGCCCUCCGGGGAAAGAUUUAUCGGUGAAAGAUCGGUCCGCGUUAGAUUAGCUAGUUGGUGAGGUAAGAGCUCACCAAGGCGACGAUCUAUAGCUGGUCUGAGAGGAUGAUCAGCCACACUGGGACUGAGACACGGCCCAGACUCCUACGGGAGGCAGCAGUGAGGAAUAUUGGACAAUGGAGGCAACUCUGAUCCAGCCAUGCCGCGUGUAGGAAGACUGCCCUAUGGGUUGUAAACU
rnacentral:rRNA from 1 species